rnacentral:rRNA from 1 species
GGGGAGUACGACCGCAAGGUUGAAACUCAAAGGAAUUGACGGGGGCCCGCACAAGCGGUGGAGCAUGUGGUUUAAUUCGAAGCAACGCGAAGAACCUUACCAGGUCUUGACAUCCUUUGACCACUCUGGAGACAGAGCUUUCCCUUCGGGGACAAAGUGACAGGUGGUGCAUGGUUGUCGUCAGCUCGUGUCGUGAGAUGUUGGGUUAAGUCCCGCAACGAGCGCAACCCUUGAUUUUAGUUGCCAGCAUUUAGUUGGGCACUCUAAAGUGACUGCCGGUGCAAGCCGGAGGAAGGUGGGGAUGACGUCAAAUCAUCAUGCCCCUUAUGACCUGGGCUACACACGUGCUACAAUGGAUAGUACAAAGGGUCGCGAAGCCGCGAGGUGGAGCUAAUCCCAUAAAACUAUUCUCAGUUCGGAUUGUAGGCUGCAACUCGCCUACAUGAAGCCGGAAUCGCUAGUAAUCGUGGAUCAGCAUGCCACGGUGAAUACGUUCCCGGGCCUUGUACACACCGCCCGUCACACCACGAGAGUUUGUAACACCCGAAGUCGGUAGGGUAACCUUUAUGGAGCCAGCCGCCGAAGGUGGGACAGAUAAUUGGGGUGAAGUCGUAACAAGGUAGCCGUAUCGGAAGGUGCGGCUGGAUCACCUCCUUUCUAAGGAA